rnacentral:rRNA from 1 species
UACGUAGGGUGCAAGCGUUAAUCGGAAUUACUGGGCGUAAAGCGUGCGCAGGCGGUUUUUGUAAGUCUGUCGUGAAAAUCCCCCGGGCUCAACCUGGGAAUUGCGAUGGAGACUGCAAGGCUAGAAUCUGGCAGAGGGGGGGUAGAAUUCCACGUGUAGCAGUGAAAUGCGUAGAGAUGUGGAGGAACACCGAUGGCGAAGGCAGCCCCCUGGG